rnacentral:misc_RNA from 1 species
AUUAACUAGAUGUUUCCUAAUUAGCUGAGAAUAAUAUAAUCCAGAAGACAAAGGA